CGAGGCGCCAGGCGGCAAGCCCGUACAAAUUGGAAGGCAGCACAAGGUAGCCGUAAGCUUGGAUCCCGGGACGAGUGGCGGACGGGUGAGUAAUGUCUGGGAAACUGCCUGAUGGAGGGGGAUAACUACUGGAAACGGUAGCUAAUACCGCAUAACGUCGCAAGACCAAAGAGGGGGACCUUCGGGCCUCUUGCCAUCAGAUGUGCCCAGAUGGGAUUAGCUAGUAGGUGGGGUAACGGCUCACCUAGGCGACGAUCCCUAGCUGGUCUGAGAGGAUGACCAGCCACACUGGAACUGAGACACGGUCCAGACUCCUACGGGAGGCAGCAGUGGGGAAUAUUGCACAAUGGGCGCAAGCCUGAUGCAGCCAUGCCGCGUGUAUGAAGAAGGCCUUCGGGUUGUAAAGUACUUUCAUCGGGGAGGAAGGCGAUAAGGUUAAUAACCUUGUCGAUUGACAUUACCCGCAAAAGAACCACCGGCUAACUCCGUGCCAGCAGCCGCGGUAAUACCGAGGGUGCCAGCCUUAAUCGGAAUUACUGGGCGUAAAGCGCACGCAGGCGGUCUGUCAAGUCGGAUGUGAAAUCCCCGGGCUCAACCUGGGAACUGCAUUCGAAACUGGCAGGCUGGAGUCUUGUANAGGGGGGUANAAUUCCAGGUG
rnacentral:rRNA from 1 species